GAUGAACGCUAGCUACAGGCUUAACGCAUGCAAGUCGAGGGGUAACGAGAGGAAAGCUUGCUUUCCUUGUCGACGACCGGCGAACGGGUGAGUAACGCGUAUCCAACCUGCCCCCAACUAGGGAAUAACCUUGCUAAAGUAAGACUAAUACCCUAUAAUUUCCUCAGAUGUCAUCUGACGAGGAGUAAAGAUUUAUCGGUUGUGGAUGGGGAUGCGUCUGAUUAGCUUGUUGGCGGGGUAACGGCCCACCAAGGCAACGAUCAGUAGGGGUUCUGAGAGGAAGGUCCCCCACAUUGGAACUGAGACACGGUCCAAACUCCUACGGGAGGCAGCAGUGAGGAAUAUUGGUCAAUGGGCGGAAGCCUGAACCAGCCAAGUAGCGUGCAGGAUGACGGCCCUAUGGGUUGUAAACUGCUUUUAUACAGGAAUAAAGUUGGCCACGUGUGGUUAUUUGUAGGUACUGUAUGAAUAAGGACCGGCUAAUUCCGUGCCAGCAGCCGCCGUAA
rnacentral:rRNA from 1 species